ensembl:lncRNA
AUAUAUUCAAGAUAAUAAUAGUUCAUUUUCAAGCCCUGAAAUGUAACCUUAUUAUCUCCUGUUAGUUGUGUUUUUGUUUUGUUGUUGUCACAACAUUCAAUUUUCUGUCUUUAUUUCCUAAGAAUGCCUAUGAAAUGUUUUUGUUUUAUAGAUUCUGAGAACUGACCCUGGAAGAAUCAAAUAGGAUCUUCUUCAGUGGAGUUACUGCAGGCACUUCUAGAUGUAGGGUGUGGCAACACGAGAAAUCAAUAGAAAACAGAAUCUUUGAAGUUGACAGCAUCUCUGAUGAAAUCUUCAAGGUGAGUUAUAGGAACUUCAGUUAUUAUAAAUCCAUACUUAGGACCCAUGGUGACAGAAUUAUUUCAA